GAUGAACGCUAGCGGCAGGCCUAACACAUGCAAGUCGAGGGGCAUCGCGGUGCAGCAAUGCACUGGCGGCGACCGGCGUACGGGUGCGUAACGCGUAUGCAACCUGCCCCGCACCGGGGGAUAGCCCGCCGAAAGGCGGAUUAAUACCCCAUGGUCCCGGGGGCCCGCAUGGGCAUCCGGGUAAAGCCUUGGCGGUGCGGGAUGGGCAUGCGUGCCAUUAGCUGGCUGGUGGGGUAACGGCCCACCAGGGCAACGAUGGCUAGGGGGUCUGAGAGGAUGGUCCCCCCACACUGGUACUGAGACACGGACCAGACUCCUACGGGAGGCAGCAGUGAGGAAUAUUGGUCAAUGGGCGGAAGCCUGAACCAGCCAUGCCGCGUGCGGGAUGAAGGCCCUACGGGUUGUAAACCGCUUUUCCCCGGGAAGAAUAACCCCGAUGAGUCGGGGGAUGCCGGUACCGGGGGAAUAAGGAUCGGCUAACUCCGUG
rnacentral:rRNA from 1 species